CCUUGUUCUAAGCUUUCUCAUUUACAACAUCUGUGAAGGAGUUAAAUGCAUUUAUUUAUUAAAUUUACAGGUGACACUAAGCCAGGUGCAACUGCAAUUACAUUGCCUGGACAAGAUUAGAAUUGAACAUCAUCUUGAUAAAUUUGAGAAAUUAUCUGCAGAUACUGUGGACAUUGCAUGGAUUUUAUGAAAACCAAUCAAUGUAGACGAUACAUGAAGAGAAGAAUUACCAGGAAAACAGCUUAAUUUUCUUCAGAAAGCCUAGCUUCAAAGAGGACUGGCAAGGUCUCCCAUAUGAAUUCUAGCCCUUGUUAAGAGCGAUGUUCCAUUACAGUCGGUACAGAAGCUCUGGCUGUGGUCCCAUGUUUGCUAAUGCUGAUUUGUGUUACCUGAAUGCGGUGACAGAAGUUU